ACAGCAGCCGCCACGGUAAUACAGAGGGUGCGAGCGUUAAUCGGAUUUACUGGGCGUAAAGCGUGCGUAGGCGGCUUCUUAAGUCGGAUGUGAAAUCCCUGAGCUUAACUUAGGAAUUGCAUUCGAUACUGGGAAGCUAGAGUAUGGGAGAGGAUGGUAGAAUUCCAGGUGUAGCGGUGAAAUGCGUAGAGAUCUGGAGGAAUACCGAUGGCGAAGGCAGCCAUCUGGCCUAAUACUGACGCUGAGGUACGAAAGCAUGGGGAGCAAACAGGAUUAGAUACCCCGGUAGUCCCUGUCUCUUAUAA
rnacentral:rRNA from 1 species